rnacentral:rRNA from 1 species
CACGUAGUUAGCCGGGGCUUCUUAGUCAGGUACCGUCAUUUUCUUCCCUGCUGAUAGAGCUUUACAUACCGAAAUACUUCAUCGCUCACGCGGCGUCGCUGCAUCAGGGUUUCCCCCAUUGUGCAAUAUUCCCCACUGCUGCCUCCCGUAGGAGUCUGGGCCGUGUCUCAGUCCCAAUGUGGCCGUCCACCCCCUCAGGCCGGCUACUGAUCGUCGGCUUGGUGGGCCAUUACCCCCACCAACUACCUAAUCAGACGCGGGUCCAUCUUACACCACCUCAGUUUUUACCACUGUACCAUGCAGUACUGUGGUCUUAUGCGGUAUUAGCAGUCAUUUCUAACUGUUAUCCCCCUGUGUAAGGCAGGUUACCCACGCGUUACUCACCCGUCCGCCGCUCAGUCACAAAGUCUUCCUCCGAAGAUUCUGACUUAAGCGCUUCGCUCGACUUGCAUGUGUUAGGCACGCCGCCAGCGUUCAUCCUGAGCCAGGAUCAAACUCU